AGAGUUUGAUCCUGGCUCAGAGUGAACGCUGGCGGCGUGGCUAAGACAUGCAGUCGGGCGGCAAGGCGGCAACGCCCUAGAGCGGCGAACGGGUGCGUAACACGUGAGCAAUCUUCCGUAAAGUUGGGGAUAGCCCCGGGAAACUGGGAUUAAUACCGAAUGUGGACCCGCGAGGCAUCUCGCGGUAUCCAAAGCCUGAAACGGCGCUUUAUGAGGAGCUCGCGGCCUAUCAGCUAGUUGGGGGGGUAACGGCCCACCAAGGCGAAGACGGGUAACCGGUUUGAGAGAACGAUCGGUCACACCGGAACUGAGACACGGUCCGGACACCUACGGGUGGCAGCAGUCUCGAAUCAUUCACAAUGGGGGCAACCCUGAUGGUGCGACGACCGCGUGGAGGAUGAAGGUCUUCGGAUUGUAAACUCCUGUCAAGGGGGACUAAAGCGGGGCUCAUACCCCCGCCUGCAUCAACCCCUAGAGGAAGCAGUGGCUAACUCUGUGCCAGCAGCCGCGGUAAUACAGAGACUGCAAGCGUUACUCGGAAUCACUGGGCGUAAAGGGAGCGCAGGCGGACCGAUGUGUCUGGUGUGACACCCGGCGGCUCACCCCGGGACUGCGCCAGAUACUGUCGGUCAGGGAC
rnacentral:rRNA from 1 species